rnacentral:pre_miRNA from 1 species
AUCAUACUCACUCCGUCUCAAAAUUUUUGUCUUAGAUUUGUCUAGAUAUGGAUGUAUCUAAAUACUAGAUACAUUCAUUUUUAGACAAAUCUAAAACAAGAAUUUUGAAACGGAGGGAGUAUAAU